rnacentral:misc_RNA from 1 species
UUCGCCGCCUUAUGAUACGCUUUAUUGGAAUGAAUUAAUGCUAUAUAAACCGUUGUUCAGAAAAAGCGUGACUUAAUGGAUUUUGCUCUCAAUUUCACGCCCGCCGGCGUAAUUCAAUUUGGCCCCGUAUUGUUCGACAUCUAACGAAGGAGAGGAAAAACGAAGAAAAGACGGAGAACUGAUAGACGACCAAAAUCGUCUGCAGAUAUGGUGACAAAUUAAUUUCAUCUAAAUGCUGGUUGAAAAGCUCCGUGGAAAGAGGAACAUAAAACAAAAUUGCAUGUUUGAGUAACGUGAUACUUGAAAAACUUUGUUUUAUGCCUACAAAAUACAGGGCAUUCUGUACUUUUCCAUAUUUAUAAAAUAAACGAAUCGAAUAAUUAUUUAAUCGUCUGAAUACAAAGUAUACUAGAUAUUGUACUCUAUAUAUGUACCGUAAAUC